rnacentral:rRNA from 1 species
UACGGAGAGUGCGAGCGUUGUUCGGAAUCAUUGGGCGUAAAGGGCGUCUAGGUGGCUUUCCAAGUCAGAUGUGAAAUGCCUCGGCUCAACCGAGGACGUGCAUUUGAAACUGGUGAGCUUGAGUGCCGGAGGGGGCAGCGGAAUUCCCGGUGUAGAGGUGAAAUUCGUAGAUAUCGGGAGGAACACCAGCGGCGAAGGCGGCUGCCUGGCCGAACACUGACACUGAAGCGCGAAAGCGUGGGGAGCAAAC